CCUACGGGAGGCAGCAGUGGGGAAUAUUGGACAAUGGGGGCAACCCUGAUCCAGCAAUGCCGCGUGUGUGAAGAAGGCCUUCGGGUUGUAAAGCACUUUCGAUGGGGAAGAAAAGCUCGGUGUUAAUACCGCCGAGUCUGACGAGCAGAG
rnacentral:rRNA from 1 species